rnacentral:rRNA from 1 species
AAUCAACGCUGGCGGCGUGCCUCAGACAUGCAAGUCGAACGCGAAAGGCCCCUUCGGGGGCCCGGUAGAGUGGCGCACGGGUGAGUAACACGUAGGUAAUUUGCCUUCGGGUGGGGAAUAACAGCCGGAAACGGCUGCUAAUACCGCAUAAUGCAGCGGCUCGACAUCGAGACAGUUGUUAAAGGCGGGGGAUCGCAAGACCUCGCGCCUGAAGAGAAGCCUGCGGCAGAUUAGCUUGUUGGUGAGGUAAUGGCUCACCAAGGCGACGAUCUGUAACCGGCCUGAGGAGGGCGGGUCGGUCACACUGACACUGAC